UGUUGGCAGUUUUAGCAGCAGCAGGUUUAGGCUCCUGGGCUCCAGUCCAAGGGCACCAGAAGCUUCCUUUUUUUCCCCAUUAAUUCAAGUUCAAAACUUUGAGGUUAUUUAUCAGCGUUCUCCCUCUGUCACAGCUUGUCAGUGAUCUUUUUCUUCCUGUUAUGUCUUAUACACAUAUUUUCUUUCUUUUCCAUCCUAAGUUACCCUGCCUUGGUCAUUCUCCAAUAGUUCAUGGGCCCUUGUAAUAUUUUCCCAGACACUGAAACUUGGGAGAGACCUGGGUUUAAA
rnacentral:lncRNA from 10 species